rnacentral:rRNA from 1 species
GACGAACGCUGGCGGCGUGCUUAACACAUGCAAGUCGAACGGAAAGGCCCUGCUUUUGUGGGGUGCUCGAGUGGCGAACGGGUGAGUAACACGUGAGUAACCUGCCCUUGACUUUGGGAUAACUUCAGGAAACUGGGGCUAAUACCGUAUAGGAGCUCCUGCUGCAUGGUGGGGGUUGGAAAGUUUCGGCGGUUGGGGAUGGACUCGCGGCUUAUCAGCUUGUUGGUGGGGUAGUGGCUUACCAAGGCUUUGACGGGUAGCCGGCCUGAGAGGGUGACCGGCCACAUUGGGACUGAGAGACGGCCCAGACGCGUACGGGAGGCAGCAGGGGGGAAUAUUGCACAAUGGGCGGAAGCCUGAUGAAGCAACGCCGCGUGCGGGAUGACGGCCUUCGGGUUGUAAACCGCUUUCGCCUGUGACGAAGCGUGAGUGACGGUAAUGGGUAAAGAAGCACCGGCUAACUACGUG